GUACUUACUGUUAAGGAUCCUGGAAAAGGGAGUGGUUCCUCCUAGCUGCAAACAAGGGCGCUACUUUUCUUUUCUCUUUAAUAGAAUUACGUUUUAUAGGUGUGUCUAGGCAACACAAGGGAAUGUGAAAGACUUUCAGAGGGAAUGUUUGUGAAUACAUCUGGUGUGUACUAAAAAGCUGGAAAACCCCUAAGUAAAUGCAAUAUCGAUAGAAAGCGAGUUUCUUGAAGAGUCAUCUGCUAAACUCCACUAGAGUCAUCUCUACAUUAAUCAGAGCUGAUUUCAUCGACAGCUUGCUUUGGUUAAUUACCGCAGUGUUUUAACUGAAUGCCCCAAGGUAUUGAUGUAAUCAAUGACCACUUCAAGCCUUGGAAUUCUAGGAAUCUUGGCAGAACUCUGGAGACAGUUUAUCAAUAUCUAAGCCCAUAGGUCAAAUAAAAGAUUAAUAAUUUAGACAUAUCAGCUGUAAAUUCAUAAGAACCAUAUGGAUGUCCAAGUGGAGGUGGAGGAGGUGAUUAAGAUGGAAAAAGGCAACCAUGAAUGAAGACACACAGAUCCUCAACCUUUAAAACAGAUGCAACUGACUCACUUAAAAUAGCUGUGUGGAUAUAGAACUUUUAUCAACUACUAUUUACUAAAUUAUAUUGGUGUGUUUGUCCUCAUCUUAGAAUAGCAUAUCAAUAGAUGCUAUAAAAACAUAAGAGGGUGUGGUUAAGAGAAAAAAAAAUUGCCAUUAAGGAAUCAGCAAAUAGGAUGUCUGAAGUGAGGAUAUAGCACCUAUCUCUGAGAUUAAAGUCAUCUGAUCAAAAAUGAUGCCUCUGAGACUAUAACAAAGGAAUGAAUAAUGAAAUAUAAGAAUGGGGAUUCUGCACUAACUCUAUGGGGAAGAAAACAAUGGUAAGAGCAAAAGGAUCAACAGCAGCAACUCCUGUUUCCAUCGAUUUGUUUAUAAGAUGCCGUCUACAUUAUUCCAAAAUAUCCCAGCCUUUUUCUCCCCUGUCAAGCUUCCCUGUCUCUAAAAGAGAUCUUGCUCUUCCUGCACAGAAAGAAAUAAUAAUAUAUCACUGAAAUAUUAUUAUUACAUUUAAAGUUACUUACACUCUUUCCCAUUCCUAUAAUUUCCUAGUUGGAAGCCCUCGCACUUGGGAAAUUAUUUAAUGUGAUUUUUUCUCCCUGACAUAUAAAUUGUCACAUCACCUUAAAUGUUGGGACUUCAGGUUGGGAAGUGGGUGGAUAAUAUUCUUGAGGAAGCUGCCUUCCUUUUAUAGAUAAUGUUACCUCCUUGUAAAGGUUGCUUUCUAUGUAUUAUUCUACUUUUUUUCUAAGAAUAUACCAUAUAAUGAAAACUUUACAGGCUUGACAUCCUAUUACUAAGAUUAUAAUUGUUGAGGUCUUCAAUAGAAUUUCAAGUCAAAUAUGUUGUGCUAUAUGCCUACUUACAUUUCACUCUUUGAUUCACCUAGUUAGGAUCUCAGAAUUGAACUUUAAUUGCAGAUUUAUUACUUCUUUACUCUCUUCAUGUAUUAAUUUAAAAUUUACUUUUUCCUACCUUCAUCUUGGUUUGAGAAGGUUAUUUCCCUUUCAUUUGAUUUAUUUGUUUUAAUUUACAUGUGCAUAUUUAUUACCUGUAUAUAAGCAAAAUUUAUAGAAGAGGAUAGUAUGAGUUAAUAAAUAAGUAUAUUAUCAGGAUAUUUUCUUUAUAUUUAAUAUAUGUUGUAAUUAAAAUGCACUGUUUAGCUGAACUGUGCCUCCUGGAAACUGUAGCAUUUAAAGACAGCACUAUGUGAAAUAUAAAAUUAUGUUUUUUUUC
ensembl:lncRNA MIR4500HG MIR4500 host gene